rnacentral:lncRNA from 1 species
CUCUAGGAGGCGUCGGUAACCUUGCUCGGGAGCAAUUAGAUGAGGUUGGUAUCCAUCUGCCUCAGAAAUAACGUUUCUCACAUUUUGCAGCGAUAAAUGACGGUCCAGUGGAAUCUUUCUCAAUGCAGCAGGAAGCUGAUAAUCGAAAACUAUAUAAAUUUUGUCACCACCUGGUCGCCUAGGGAGGGGGAACAACACAGUAAAGGCAGAAAGGUCAAGGCUUUUCCUUCCCACAAAUAUUAAGAAAAAAAGGUUGUAUUUUCAAGAGUUUUUAAAAGAAUCAAGUAUCAACUCAUGCCCCAAUUUAAA